CUGGCUCAGAACGAACGCUGGCGGCGCGUUUAAGCAUGCAAGUCGAGCGGCAAGGGCCUUCGGGCCCCUAGAGCGGCGGACGGGUGAGUAACACGUGGACAAUCUGCCCCCCGGCCCGGGAUAGCCCAGGGAAACCUGGAUUAAUACCGGAUGAGACGGGACCCGCGAUGGCGGGAUCCGGGAAAGGCGCUGCGGCGCCGCCGGGGGAUGAGUCUGCGUCCCAUUAGCUAGACGGCGGGGUAACGGCCCACCGUGGCGACGAUGGGUAGCCGGCCUGAGAGGGUGGACGGCCACAUUGGAACUGAGACACGGUCCAGACUCCUACGGGAGGCAGCAGCUAAGAAUCUUCCGCAAUGGGCGAAAGCCUGACGGAGCGACGCCGCGUGAACGAAGAAGGCCGUGAGGUUGUAAAGUUCUUUUCGGGAGGGGGAACAACCGUGGCAGGGAAUGGCCGCGGGAUGACGUGAAUCCCGGAAUAAGCCCCGGCUAACUACGUGCCAGCAGCUGC
rnacentral:rRNA from 1 species